CCUACGGGAGGCAGCAGUGGGGAAUAUUGGGCAAUGGGCGCAAGCCUGACGCAGCAACGCCGCGUGAAGGAAGAAGGCUUUCGGGUUGUAAACUUCUUUUGUCAGGGAAGAGUAGAAGACGGUACAUGACGAAUAAGCCACGGCUAACUACGUGACAGGAGCCGGGGUAAUACGGAGGUGGCAAGCGUUGUGGGGAUUUACUGGGUGUAGAGGGCGUGUAGCCGGGGUGACAAGUCAGAUGUGAAAUCCUGCGGCUUAACCGCAGAACUGCAUUUGAAACUGUUGAUCUUGAGUACUGGAGAGGCAGACGGAAUUCCUAGUGUAGCGGUAAAAUGCGUAGAUAUUAGGAGGAACACCAAUGGCGAAGGCGGUCUGCUGGACAGCAACUGACGGUGAUGCGCGAAAGCGUGGGGAGCAAACAGGAUUAGAUACCCGAGUAGUC
rnacentral:rRNA from 1 species